GACGAACGCUGGCGGCGUGCUUAACACAUGCAAGUCGAACGGAAAGGCCCCUUUGGGGGUACUCGAGUGGCGAACGGGUGAGUAACACGUGAGUAACCUGCCCUUGACUUCGGGAUAACUUCAGGAAACUGGGGCUAAUACCGGAUAGGAAUCCUUGCUGCAUGGUGGGGGUUGGAAAGCUUCGGCGGUUUUGGAUGGACUCGCGGCUUAUCAGCUUGUUGGUGGGGUAGUGGCUUACCAAGGCUUUGACGGGUAGCCGGCCUGAGAGGGCGACCGGCCACAUUGGGACUGAGAUACGGCCCAGACUCCUACGGGAGGUAGCAGUGGGGAAUAUUGCACAAUGGGCGGAAGCCGGAUGCAGCAACGCCGCGUGCGGGAGGACGGCCUUCGGGUUGUAAACCGCUUUCAGCAGGGGCGAAGCUUGUGGUGACGGUACCUGCAGAAGAAGCACCGGCUAACUACGUG
rnacentral:rRNA from 1 species